UUCAUCCCAAAUUGUAAGAUAAUUAAAGAUAUGAAAAACCUUAUUUAAUUAGCUUUAAUUAGGAUUAUUAUGUAAGUACGUCUGUAAUCAGUUUUUUAUUAUUUUAAAUUAAAAGUAUAUUAAAUUAUGAGAGGAUCUUUUAUAAAUAAAAAAAAAAAGACGGAUAAAUGAGAACUCAUUUAUAUAUGGAAUAAACCAAUCAGAAAAAGUUUUCAUUUUCAAAUUCAUUCACGCAAAGAAAGUGCUUUUAUCAAUAAAAGUGCUUAUUUCAUCAGAAGCCAAAACACGUUUAUGCAGUUCAGCUGGUACACCAUUAAUCAGAUUUCAAAUCUUCCCCUCAACGCCCGAUCAGACAAACUCGAGGUAAUUCAAAUUAAAGGUAUUUGUGGUAAUGGUGGGGUGUUUCCCUUCGACACCCAAGAAAUUGGCAAUGACCAUUGCAUGUUCCCUCUCUGGGGCUGUCGUUUUAGCUGUUGGGAUGCACCUUUCUUAUGUCAAUGUUGAACCCCAACGAGCCCGAACUAUGGCUCGCGAUAAAUUGGUCUUAGAUACAUUGAGAAAGAAGUAUGGUUACAUUCCUCCAUCAGAGGUCCGAAGUAUGGCUCGCAGUGAUUCCUCAAAAGAAAAUAGCUGAAUGAGACUUUGGGAUUAAAAGUUACCUAUGGGGGUGCUGUUGAUUGCUAAAAGCUUUGGUUUUUCAUUCUUGCUCCUUUGUACUCCUUUGACUUAUUGAGUUCUUAAAGAGGGAAUGAAGAAUAAAUGGUUAUGGCUAAUGUUUACAACCAUAAUUUAAAUGUUCAUAGUGUUACCUUCA